UACGAAGGGGGCUAGCGUUGCUCGGAAUCACUGGGCGUAAAGCGCACGUAGGCGGAUCCUUAAGUCGGGGGUGAAAUCCUGGAGCUCAACUCCAGAACUGCCUUCGAUACUGAGGAUCUUGAGUCCGGGAGAGGUGAGUGGAACUGCGAGUGUAGAGGUGAAAUUCGUAGAUAUUCGCAAGAACACCAGUGGCGAAGGCGGCUCACUGGCCCGGUACUGACGCUGAGGUGCGAAAGCGUGGGGAGCGAACAGG
rnacentral:rRNA from 1 species